UUUAAAGUUUUGGUUUUGGUACUGCCAUCGUGUGUGCAUCUGGGAGAUAUUGCAGGUUUAGAAUUGCAAGGUUUGUCCUCUAUCGAUACCGCUAGCAUUGUAUUACCAGCAAGUCUAAAAGUCUUGUAGACCUGACCCAGCAUAAACACGAGGAGUCUUGAUAAGCCGAUUAUUAGUACCUAGUGCAUACAGGCUACUUGCUACGGAUUUCAUCAAACAUUGAGAUACAAAAUUCGCAGAGCUGACUUGAGACCAGCUAACGUUACGUCCGAUCAUGACAGGAGAGGGAAGAGGAGUCUGGGGGAGAGGCAGUGUAUUCGCCAACACCCCUUUGUCUCGCAGAUUCGACAAAUUUGCUACCGUGGCAAGAACGUUCUUCUUCCUAUCAACUGCUUUCGGCCUGUACGGGCUACACAACGCCGUGAAAGCAUUUAGAGCUGAGGCACCCAUGCGAGCGGAACUAAAGAAAGUAUCUGAGUCACAAGCAAAAAUUAUGAAAGCAGAGGAGGAGAAGAUCUUGGCGGAGUUCAAUAAGAAACGAGUAUAGCGCGAAAGGACAAUGCUCAGCCACAGGAGAACUCUUCACACGUUCUGUUGCUUUCUGAAUUUUUGGUCUCAUGAGUGUGCUUGUGUCUGACCUGUAUAUAGUCAUGCAGAAAAAUCAUAAAAUGAGUAUUGUACAUAUUGAAUUUUGAAUACCAUGCUUGCAUGUUUGCUCUGUGCUAGCAUUUAUCAUCAGCAAAAUACUCCACACAACUCGCAGCAUGCUGCUGUCUCUUUAAGGUUCUUUUUUUCUGGUGAACGUGGCACCCCGUGUGCAUCUAUACCAUGGUAAUGGAUGCUUGUGAAUUCAA